CUCCCUUCUGUAAUACACCUUCUCUGCCUCUUUCACUAGAUCACGUAACUCAGCCUCCUGUAACCCUUCCAGUCUCUGAAGUUUCUUUCUGAUAUCCAGAGCCGACUGCCCUAUGAAGGCCAGGGCCACUGAGGCUUUCUGGGCCUCCGAGGUAGGAUCAAAAGGGGUGAACCGCCUGAAGGCUUCCAUGAGCCUCUCAAGAAAUACCGAGGGAGGUUCGUUCGGUCCCUGCAUCACCUCUCUUACCUUAGCCAAAUUAGUGGGCCGUCUUGAGGCGCCCCGGAGACCCGCCACCAGAGCCUGGCGAUAGAUUUUCAAGCUCUCCCUACCUUCAGCCGUGUUGUAGUCCCAACCGGGGCGAGUCAAGGGAAAUCCCAUGUCAAUCUCAUUUUGCAACUGCGUGGGUCGCCCGUCGGCCCCAGGAACAUUUUUUCUAGCCUCUAACAGAAUUCUCUCUCGCUCCUCGGUUGUGAAGAGUGUCUGCAGCAGCUGUUGACAAUCAUCCCAAGUAGGCUGGUGAGAGAACAUAAGGGACUCCACCAACCCCGUGAGGCGUUGGGGAUCCUCCGAGAAAGGGGGAUGGUUAGUUUUCCAAUUAUAGAGAUCUGCAGAAGAAAAGGGCCAAUACUGGAGGGGCUGCAAUUGGCCCCCCGGCAUGGGAGGGCCAUAGGUGCGCAGCGGUAAUAUCGCGAUCUCGUCUGUCCGCUCCGGGGUGGCGCCUCUCCGGCUCCGAGUCCCGGCAGCAGGUCCCUCCACCACCGGAGCUCCAGGAGGGGCAGAGGGUCCCCUCACAGCACCCUGUGCUGGAUAAGGGGGUGGGGGAACAGGUUGGGGUUCCGGCCAAGUCGGCGGCUCCUCGAUCUCGGGGUAGAUACGAGGAGAGGGCUCGACUUUUUCGGCCGAGUGUUUGUUUUUCUCUCCAAGAGCCAGGAUUCGGGGACCUGGCUUUCUUGGUUUAUUUAGCCAUGGUUUAACCCAUGGCGGAGGAUCUUCUGCCAAAUCUUGCCACGUAAGGAUAUAGGGCUCCUGAUCAGGAUGAGAGCUGGGUCCAGUCUGAAAAAUGAUUGCCUUAACAGCCAGGAUAAUUUCAGAAUUAAAGGUCCCUUCUUAACCUGAACUGACAAAUUAUGAGCCCUGGAUCUAACUUCAGUCCAAUGGUCGAGAGUCAAACUAAGGGGGGUCGUCACUGUCUGUCCCAUAUUAAAACUGUAGACAAGGACGCACAAGACAAAGACACACGAAACAGAAACCAACAGAUCCAGACACACGCGACCCGUCCGCGUCUUCCACAAGCAGGCAAAAGAGUCGGACGGCCGCGGAGGGGGAAGCUUUCGCUUCAACAACAGAACUCGGUCCUCUGACCGACAGUAGGAGACCACCAGGCGUCCCUGGCUCUCCCCACCUCCCGGGGCGUCCCCCAGGGUGGCAGCCUGUGAUCCUCCUAGCACGUCUGCUGAUCACAGUCCUCCAGUCCUUACGGUCUGAGAGGACAGCUGCAAACCGAAAGCGCGCAUCACCGAAAACAGACACUCAGAACAGAGACGCCGGCCGACACACACACACGUUCCAAAGGGGAUCCCUUUACCUCCAAGUCGGUUCUCGGGUGUAAGGGGUGGUCGCAGGACUUCCCGGCCAACGCACCAAAUGAAAGGCCAGUAAAAGAACAAUCCCCCUCGUCCGGGCUCGGAAGAGGCGACACCCCAAAUCACUCACGAGAAGCGGUCUUGAUGCAAACAGCAAGAGGAUUUUUAUUCCAAGCGCGCUGGGGCCCACAGUCGUACGCCACGCAGGGGUAGAGGACUG
rnacentral:lncRNA from 1 species